UUAACAAAGGAGCAACAAAUUAAAUGUCAAACCCAUCAACAGGGGAAUCUUUCCCCUAACAGGAAAGUGUUUCUCACUUUCGUAUUAAAAAACAAUUUCAAGACACACACCCACACACUCAUACACACACACACACACACACACACACACGUACAUAUACUCAUCUAAACGGGCCAUAAAACUUGCCACAUGCCUGACAAAAGAUGGAGACAGUUGGGAGAGAGAGAGAGCAACAAAAAAAGAAUGCCAAGAAAAUUGGCCACAAAAGAUGCUAAUGAUUUAUUUAAUCGAUUUGACCAUGAACAUAUGUUCCUUGUUGUUGCGUGUGAAAAAGUGACAAGUCUUUGUCGUCGUCCUUGUCGUUUCAGCUCUGUCCCGGUUACGUCCUCUUCAAUUUUUUCCAAAUUUUUUUUUACCCCCGUAAAGAAAAAAGAACCAAGGGAAAAAAGGAAAUAAAUGGAGAAGGACAUAGUCAAGUAUCUGCUGAUAUUUUUAAUAGUUUCGGUUACGCAAUGUUGACAAGGGUUUGACCGGCAAAAGGGUCAAUAAUGGGACAUGGGAUGGUGUCCUCGACCUGAACUGGAACUCGAACUUGAACUCGAGAUGGUGGAGGUGGUUGGGGGGCCAAAGGAUUUGGAAAGGAGCCAAGUGUGUGGUCAAGUGGGGCAGUGGGAAUUCCCCCCAAGCCGGGACAAGGUGCGAAAGGGUUGACUGGCAUAUCAUGGUCACGGGUUAUUAACUCUCCAACCCUGGAUUGGUCAAGUCUUCCGUUGAAAAUGAUCAAUGGAACACAAAAAUUUUCUAUUUGAUAUCAUUGAACAAGUGAAACAAUAUGCAAUGAUUGAUUAAAAACGAUUUUGAAAAUUACUUGUUGCGCCUGUGACUCUCUAAUGAAUCGUUAAGGAACAUGUCCUUUAGCUGACCAAUUCGUAACAGAAACUUCUUCUUUUUGGUUGACCAUAAAGAAUAUUUAUAUAUGUAAAUGUAUCUAAAGGAAAUGCGUGUGGGAAAAAAAUGAAGACAAGUUUUGAAAAGAAUGACUAACAAUGAAUGUGGGCUUUGGGCCCAGUGGGUGUGGCCGCCCAUACAAAAAGACAGUUGGAUGGCAGAAACUGUAAGAUGAAGUUGAAGAAGGAAUAAUGAAAGCGGCUAAUAAAUCGACUUCAAUAUAUCAAAGA